rnacentral:rRNA from 1 species
AUUAGACGAAUCAUCUGGAAAGAUGAAUCAAAGAAGGUAAUAAUCCUGUAGUCGAAAAUGUUGUCUCUCUUGAGUGGAUCCUGAGUACGACGGAGCACGUGAAAUUCCGUCGGAAUCUGGGAGGACCAUCUCCUAAGGCUAAAUACUCUCUAGUGACCGAUAGUGAACCAGUACCGUGAGGGAAAGGUGAAAAGCACCCCGGAAGGGGAGUGAAAUAGAACCUGAAACCGUGUGCUUACAAGUAGUCAGAGCCCGUUAAUGGGUGAUGGCGUGCCUUUUGUAGAAUGAACCGGCGAGUUACGAUUUGAUGCAAGGUUAAGCAGUAAAUGUGGAGCCGUAGCGAAAGCGAGUCUGAAUAGGGCGUUUAGUAUUUGGUCGUAGACCCGAAACCAGGUGAUCUACCCUUGGUCAGGUUGAAGUUCAGGUAACACUGAAUGGAGGACCGAACCGACUUACGUUGAAAAGUGAGCGGAUGAACUGAGGGUAGCGGAGAAAUUCCA